rnacentral:rRNA from 1 species
AGAUCGNAUGGAGAGAUUCAUCGUCGACGGCGCUGGCUACCGUUGGUGCGCGAUGCUCCGGAUGGGCCCCCGUGGUUCCAUUAGCGAGGGCACGCCAUCUUCGGAUCGAACGUUCCGGCGUCGUAGUCGUGCACUUCUCCCCUAGUAGGACGUCGCGACCCGUUGUGUGUCGGUCUACGGCCCGGGUGGGCGCCUGUCGCGUCGUUUCGGCGCACGCGGCAGACCCUCGGACGCCCGGCCGGCUGCACGACGGUACACUCACGGUAUCGGGCCGCAACCAAUCCAUUCUCGAAUGUAUUUGCGUCCGUCACGCCGCAAGCUCGGUCAGUUCUUACCCGGAGGUACGGACCCGGUGCCGUCCCCGGGCCUGGCCAGCUGCUAGCAGGCGACGAACUAGGACUGGCCAAACCUCGGAUUACCGGUCGGCGACGCUAUUGCUUUGGGUACUCUCAGGACCCGUCUUGAAACACGGACCAAGGAGUCUAACAUGUGCGCGAGUCAUUGGGAUGCAUAAACCUAAAGGCGAAAUGAAAGUGAAAGUCGGCCUUCGCGCCGAUCGAGGGAGGAUGGGCCGCGUAACACAUAUGUGCGGCCUCGCACUCCCGGGGCGUCUCGUUCUCAUUGCGAGAAGAGGCGCACCUAGAGCGUACACGUUGGGACCCGAAAGAUGGUGAACUAUGCCUGGUCAGGACGAAGUCAGGGGAAACCCUGAUGGAGGUCCGUAGCGAUUCUGACGUGCAAAUCGAUCGUCGGAACUGGGUAUAGGGGCGAAAGACUAAUCGAA